rfam:Camelus ferus unplaced genomic scaffold scaffold765, whole genome shotgun sequence.
GAGGGUAUAGCUCAGUGGUAGAGUGCAUGCCUAGCGUGCGUGAGGUCCUGGGUUUAAUUCCCAGUAACUCUA